GGGAAAGGGGAUACUUAGUCAGCAGCACAACUGAAUGCAUUCAACUGAAAUGUGUCUUCCACAUUUAACCCAAACCCUCUGAAUCAGAGGUCCAUCAUAAUGACGUUGUCAAAACCCUGCUCUUUGAAUGGUCCUUCAUAAUGUCAUCGUCAUAAUCCUGCUCGCUCAUUGGUUCUUCGUUACGCUGCUCUCUGAUUGGUCCCUUCAUUACUACGUCGUCAUAACCCUGCUCCCUGAUUGGUGAUCCCUUGAUUACGACAUUACCAUAACCCUGCUCUGCUAGGUUGUUUAUUAUGACAUUGCCAUAACCCUCCUAUCUGAUUGAUCCCUUCAGAAUGGCAUCAUCAUAACCCUACUCUGAUUGGUCCCUUCAUAAUGACAAAUACAGUUCUUGGGCUAUAGCUCCUUGCCAAUAGUGACUUAAUAAACUCUGGCAUAGUGAGCAGGGAGGCAGACAACAAGGUAAAAAAAAAAAUCCUGCCUUUGUUUCAUACUGCCUGGCAUUGAGCACAGUGUGGUCCUAGAAACCUGGCAACUUUCAGUGACAAGAUAAAGAGAAUUUGGGCAUCUAGGCAUUUGAAUGAUUGAUCCCUCUGGGCUCAGGUGAAGUUCAUUGAUGUGACCUCCAGGACUGGAUUAUAUAACGUCGUUGUCAUUUUGCAGUACUGUGGAUAUGGAUAUGUUAAUGUCAGUACAAACUAGUUUAGAUGAGAUUGUGGUGGUAUUUCCAGGAUGCAUAUGAGUUUAUUUAGCAUAAAUCACAUGACGCUUAACAUGACAUAACUAACUUACUGACAUGGAUAUUAAAUGCUCUGUCAUAUAGGCUAUGUGCUCUGUUUUCUAUGAGUUGCCUAGUGUUUUUGCUCUAGUUGAAGGGUUGUAAACUGUGAGCAUUCUAUUUACAAUGCUCUUGCAUGCAUUAUUUACAAUGUUAUCCAACUUCAACUUGCUGACGACUAUGCCUGUGACAGUCUAGCCAUGUCUGAACUGAUAUAAUUGUUGACAGCUUGUACAAGUAUUCAUUGGAGGUUAUCUUUUGUAAGAGUGAGAGGGUGAGAGGCUACAGUGGACCUUAUUAAGUGUGGGACAAGUCUAGUCAAUUCUCUAGCUCCCCUUAAAACACUGAAAAUAUGCUCUAAGUAACAUGUUCGUUUAUGAGAUUAAUUCAGUUAAUGUCAUGGGAAAUCACACUGGUGUAAAGCAAUAUGCAGUGUUGUUUGUUGAUAUGCUUAUCGUUAACAUUACCGUGUAAUCAGAAUUCAGUGUGAUACUACAGUACCAGUAGUGUAGUAACCAAAAAAGUGUUAAACAAAUCAAAAUAUAUUUUAUAUUUGAGAUUCUUCAAAGUAGCCAACCUUUGCCUUGAUGACAGCUUUGCACACUCUUGUAGCCAGCCGCUGUGUGGAGCUUGCAGGGAAACAACCCACAAGAACAAGAUAAUCUCCCGCCACGACAUUGUCUCCCUUGCCAAUCGCACGAUGGGGCCCACAAAACAUGUGGUGUGUUAAAACUACAAUCUUCUUCAAUCUUAAAGUGUUACGUACCCCUUUAAAAACAGCUAGAUGUAUUUUAUGGAUAAACUAGCAGGUGCACAGAAAAUGUUGGUGAAAAUGUUGGUGAAAUCCAAGGCUCUCAAACUCAAAUUCUCUCUUCUCUGAGAUUCCAUUGUAAUGUCUGUAUGUAUGUCUGAUCGUGACUGUUUGUCUGUCUACCCACAGCCCUCCACGAUGAGCUAGCUGUACAUCAUGUUCUCCACAGAGAAGUCCAUGCUGUCCAUCAACUGUUUCAGAGACAUGCAAGUGCGGUGAAGGAGCUCCGGACGUUGGCCAGAGGCCAUCAUCCUGCUGAAGGCCAUGAUCGAGGAGGUCCGAGAGAAUGUUGAUGAGGAGGAGUGCGCAAUCAGCACUAUUUUCAACAAAGUGCAGAACGAAAACAAAUGACAUUCUAGACGACAAAAACAAAGAGCAGCGCAAAGGUGAGAAUACAUUUUUCUUCAUGCUACCUUGCUUGAAAAUCAUGUUUAUCAUGUAGCUCUAAUGUAUAGCCUAUGCUCAGAGAAACUGUUAACCUGUUAUUGUUUGAAUGGGCCUUCCGAACCAAGCGCACACAGAUUCAGCCUCAAUGGCUGUAAACUCAAUUAACUCUCGAAGAAGUAAGUCUUACCACAGACAGACAAUAUGCAUCCCAAAUGCCACCACAUUUGGGAUGCAUAUUGGCCACCAUUCCCUUUAUAGUGAACUACUUUAAACCAGAAGUAGYGCACUAUAUAGGAAAUAGUGUUACAUUCGGGUGCACAAGACUUCCUGCUUUGAGAAUUCAUUAGAGUGUUCAAUACCAAGAGAUAUUGAACACCUAAUGGCUUGUGCCUAAUAUGCCUAAUAUGCCUGCCUAAUAUGUAUCCUGUUCCACAUGUAUAUAUAGAUCCUACUGGGGGAUUAAGGUGUCCAUGGCAGCAGACCAAUAUAGAUUAAAGCCAAAUGAAUAAUAAUGUGUCAGGACUAGCUACAUCAGGCUUGCCUGGCACCACUUUCAACCCAGUAGCAAAUGAGAACAGCUGUCUCAUCUGGCUGCACUCUUACCCACUCUCCAGGUAAUGUCCUGUCUAUGGUAUGCCUGUUUAUCCUGGAGUAGUGAUACAUGUUGCCUAUUUUUACAAUGUCUUAUUCACCGUGCCCAACUGUAUUUGUAAUCCUAAUUGAUGUUCCAUCUUGAGCAGGUGUAAUAUAAUCAACUCAAGCCAAUGUUCUCUUCCACCUUGCUAUGUAAGUAGAGUGUAGUAUGAUGAAUAAUGCCCAAUCUGGUUCUAUGAAUCCAGAAGGGCACAAACCAAAACAUUAAAUGGAAUACUAGCAACUAUGAAUACAGUCUUUAAGCAAAUUUAUUUGACUUUGAUAUCUGUUAUCCAGCGACUAAAGAAGAUUGACUAACUGCCACACAGACUGAGACUAGCUCAGAAUAGCAGUAUUAAGUCCCUCUCUCCGGCCAUCUUGCCUCCUCAACUGAUGUUUGCUCAUGUCACAUCCCAAAUAUACACCCCAUGUGUCUUCUUCUAUGUUUCUGGUUUAGAUCAACACAGAGUAUCGGUCCGAGUUUGCUUAUUGCCUUGAGUCUCUGUUACUGCUGGGCCAAAGACGCUCUGUGUCCAUUGCUGGGAGUGUCGGGAUUGAGUUUGGGCAAUGCCAGCGGACUCCUGCAGUCAUCCCUGUCCCUGCCACUCCCCUCCCAUCAGUGACAUGUCCCUGGGUUCAUCCGUGGUGCCGAAGCCCACCGCUAUAUCAUCACCAAGGUCCUCCUGGUAAAGGUUGGGGAGACCCCAUUUACUGAGCACUGUCGCAACUAUGAGAACAGCUACAGGAUGCUGCAGACAUCCAUUCAGCAGCUGAAGGACCAGGUGCAGGAGACCCACAGGGAUUGACCAAGCACCCUCCUCAUCAAGACAGACACGUCGGAAGACAUCCUUGAUACCUCCGUACAGCCAUAUCUCCCACGAGUACUCUGCAGUGGAACUCAUGAGGGCUGUUUGAGGAGGCUCAUCUCCAUCUUGUUAUCCUUCCCCUAAGUCUGGGAGGAUAUCUUUCAGAGGGUUGCAAAUGAACAGAACAUCUAUGAAGCUUCAUGAUCUGACGCAGCUAAAGAAGAGAACAGAUACCUGACCACCAUCGCCAGGCAAAUCGGCCCCUACAUCCGAUCCAUCGCCAAGGUGAAGGAACGCCUUGAACCCAGACUGAAAGAGCCUAAGGAGCUGAAAGAUUACCGUACAGAGGACAUGCUGAAGACCUCACUAUGGCCACAGAUACUAAACAAACCAUUUUAACAACACAGAUAAAUGACCUGACCUGUACCAGAUGAUAACCACACUCUCAGCAACCUCUGACGAUGCUGCCCUCRAGAACAAUAAUCUACUGACCAGGGAAGCAGAAGAACACAGAGAUUUGGAAGAUGUCUCCCUAAGCAACUGGAUGGGGUCAUGAGACUUCAAUGUGCUCACCCAUAACUUAUGUAAAUUAUAUUGAAUAUAACAUUUAAAUGUUUCUAAGAUUACCCAUAUUAGAACUACAGUAGCAAACCCAUGAAAUAAAACAAUGAAAGGAAGACAAUUUUCUUAGGAUAAAUUUUAUUUUAUUUCACAGGACACUGUUGUUCAAUCAAUUCAGAACAUUUCAGUCAAGUGAAUAAAAGUAAUCAGCCAAGAGAGAGAUAAGUAUUCUCUCUGCAUGAUACAUUUACAUUACCUGUAAUAAACUGUAGUAUUGUUAUACUGUAGUGCAACAACUGGCUUUUUCCAUGUUC